CGACAUUAAUCCAAUAAAAGCGCGGCGCUCACGUGAGGCCGGUGCCCAGGGCGGGAUGCGCGCGCAGAGGUGAUGUCUGAGGACUAAUUUACAACAGCGAGUAAAACGAGUCAACUUGACAGCAUUAUUCAUGAGAGAUCUGACCUCCGAUUGGUGGAAUGACCUGGUCAAGCAGUUUCAUACUGGUGCGUUUCCAGAUCUUCUUAAUAAUUGCACGCAGCUCUUCAUUUGCCUGCUCAAAAUUACCUGAUGAAUGAACAAUCAGAGAAUUCAGGGCAACACGAUGGGGACAGAACUUUCCGAACCCCAGCGGUGGCUGGAUUCUCCUCAGCAGCGUCACGACGUCCAGGUGUUUAAUGCGGCCUCUGCCAGAACAACACAAAAAUAGCACCGAUAAUCAGAUGUAUGUCAUUAAAAAUCCAACCUGCAAUCAAAACGGGCCACUUUAACUAAUGGCAAUGUUUCAUUUGUGCAUGUGCCGCCUUUUUGGAUGAUGUCACCCAUCCCUUUGUUUUCAACCACUUCAUAGAGACACUUCUCACCAUCCAUUCAAUUCCUGAUGGAUAAAAUAAAGUACCACCCUACAUUUGUUUUUUCAUUGAAUAUCCUGUUGAAAAGCAUCUGAUCACAAAAGUAAAAUGUGAAGCGAAUGCCAUUUCACCUCAAUAUUAAAGUCGGCAUUAAACG